AUCUCUCUGCUGCUCCUGGAGGCAGCUCUUAACAGCCACCUCCAGGAUGAUGUGGCUCAGAGACAACCAGCCUCAUUGCUGAGCACUGUGAUUUUUUUUUCUACAACCAGGCAGAUUGUUUAAACCACCACAGAGCAGGGGCAGAGCCUGCAAGAAGCUGAGGUAUGUGAUCUAAUACUUACAUGAAGACCUGUAGCAGUUUUGGGGCUGUAUCUUGUAUUUCCAAAGGAAGAAUUGCAAGUCCAUUGAAAUACAAAGCUUAACUUCUAGAGUUGUGCAGAAUAUCCCACAAAACAAUGGUAUCAACAACAAAGGCUUUCAUGUUGACCUCUGCUCUACACAAACUUAAAUCUGUUUUACAUCAGAAGCUGCAGGGACAGAAGAGUACAUGGGAAAAGAACAUGUCUGGGAGUUUAGAGAGGACCAGCUAAAUUUUUUGAGCUCCAGUGGGAUUGGUGACAUAACUAAAAAGCAACAAACAGCAGUGUUGGUUGCAUGGUGGCCUGCCUUUAAGAAGGCAUUCACUGCCUACCUCUGAGAGAUAGAAGAGGAAGGGCAUUUCUAUACAAGACAAUUUGAAGACUUCAGAGAGCGCUGGGGGAUCUCUUUGACUCUUGUGAACACUAUUUAGACAACAAUGAUCUAAAGAAAGUGUUCAUUGUUGGAAGAAAAUUAAGGGAGCACCUCUGCUUGAUUUUCCACGACAAUAUCAGUCAGGCUGUGUCUGCGAGCAGCUACUAUGGCAGCCUUUUGCUCCCUGUUGUAUUUUGGAACAGGUGAAAAUAUUUCAGCUACACUGUGUGGCCAGAUUGGAGUCACCUGCCAAGACAUGAAGGAGUGGUAUAGCUCAGGGAUGAAGCAGUUCUGACAGCCAGCGCCAGAGGCAGGCAGAGAGCUCGUGUUGAUGGUGGGAGUCCCGUGGUGCCUUUGUGUGUGACGGUUUUAGAGCUUCGGUGGCAGCACAUCAGGCAGGAGACAACCCCAGAGUAUUAGAGUGGGCCUACUUUCUUACAGAACCCAGCUGUCGGCAGAAUUGUUAUCCUAAACAGACCUGAAAACGAAACAGCUCAAAGCAACCUUGUGGUCCAAGGAUGAGCAGCCCCUGUGCAUUCCUCAGCAGGCAAGAGAGCACCCUCACCAAAUUAGCAUCAAGAAUAAAUGUGCUCCACAGCAACAACUUCACGUUGCUCAGCCAUUCCUCAAUACACAGUUUAAAUGCCGUUUCACUCACUCACUCACUGUCUGUGCACAUCCCCAGUCAAAACAAAGACCUCUGACUUUCAAUGUUUCAGUUUGGGAACCCAGCUUUGGGCACCAAAAUUCUAGUUUUCAAAAGGAGAAAUACCCUACAGUUGUCAGCGUUGUGAGCACGUACCAGCUCUGAUACUCAAGACCUAGAACACAGUAAUCAGGAAACCAAGAACCAGAGCACCAAAGACAGCUUGCCUGCAGCUUUUUCUUUGCCUCAGUGCAUUGUUUUAACACAAAACUAGUCUUUCUUACAGAAAUACUGAGGGAAUGGAAUAUUCAAAAAGCCUAAUAAUUUUAAACUAACAAAUGAGCUUAUAAAUUGAGAUAAAGAAUGACUAACAUAAGUUUGUUAUUAGUAAGAAGGAAAGUAACUCACUAUUAUUUUGGUUGCAGACAGGUAAUAGUAAAAGCCAUCCUACUGCAGCGUUUCAUGGACCAGUUUAAAACUCACAGCAUGUGUCUGUGACAUCUGCCUUCUGCAAACAGGCUUGCAGCCUUGUCCUCAGAAAACAGAAAAUGAAAGACUGUGCUCAAAGCAAAUUUGCUUAAAAAAUCAAUAAAAAUGCCUUAAAACACUGUGAGAAGUUGCAUAGCCUGAAGGCAAGGAACUCCUUCAGUAAUGUUUCUAGCUAAUGUUUCUGAAGCAUGCAAAAAAGUAAUAAAAUUCCAUAAACAAGUUGGGGAAAAAGGAUGACUAUUUUUUCCUGAUGUAUGUAUCUGAGACCAUAAUGCCUCUGCACAGGGCUGUAUUCUGUAUUCUGCUUUCUGUGUACCUCAUUCCUGGUGCUCUACCAGAAGAUACUUACAAAUUACAGCAAAAGAGAAGCUAAAACUAGAAUUAAACAGGCAUGUAGAUGUGUGUGGACAUGGUGUUAAAACAAAAGGAGAAAAGAAUCUCUUUGAAAAAUGCUUUGGUAGCUUUGUUCUGGAUCUCAAGCCAACAACCUUCCAUAGAGCAACAGGAAAGCAAGUAAAUCACUAUAAUUUAUUUAUACUAACUUUUUAAAUAGUUCACUCUGAUUCUUUUCGAGUACCAUCUCACAAACCUGGUUGUUAAGUAUAAAUUAAAACUAUUCAAGAGGUAAUAUUUGUAAAGCACUUUUGCAUCCACAGAUGAAUGCUGCUGUAUAAUAUGAACAUUGACAUAUUUGACAAGGCAACAGAUUAAGUGUGAUACAGAGUCAGACUAAAGAUUUUUUUCUUGUCUGAAAAGCCCUUGUUUUGUUACUAAUAUUAGAGCUACAGAGGCCUAUUUGACAAAAAGCACCUCCUAAUUUGAGAGCUGUAGCUCUUAAGCUCCAUAGUAGCAGCUAUUUACCUGGUUGGCUCACUCUUCACAAAAUGUGCCCAUUAAGCUCAGGGGAUAAAGCCAAAAAAAAAAAAGCCAACCACUCUACUGAGCAUGACUGAACAAGUGACUGUGCUGGCAUGUGUUUGAUAAGAGACAGGAAAGGAAAAGGAGAUAAACCUUGGACUGUAAGACAGGAGUUACAUAUUGCCUAUUUAGAACAAUAGGGAAAGCUAUUGUUUACUUUACUGGGAAUAACUCAUAGUAGCACAAAUUCUGGUUGCAGGUGUUUGGAGGAUUUUCCCUGAGGGAAGGUUUUAUAUGUACAUACACAACACCAGUUUAAGUAAAGGAAAUUUAUGCAUGCACUCUCAACCGAGAGUAAAUUUUAGCCCUUUUCUUGUUCACUGAUGUUGUACAAGCAUUUUCCCAGCUUGGCAGGGCUAAAUUAAAUUGGGCAACGUUCUGUGUGUGUUUGAUGUCUGCUAAAUGAAGUGAGCGUCCAAUUCGUCAUAUUUACUCAAGCUCACUCAACUCUGGUAAAAAUUAAAAUGUUCCAGUUAAUUUAACGAGAUAAUUCAGCUCUCUCAAAUCUUUCUUGCUCAACAUUUGUUGCUAUUUAGAAGUUGAGGGUAUGUACUGCCAUGUAAUUCUUUGGACAGGUCUGAGGACUCAGUAGCAAACAGUAGACAUCUAAGACACUAGACUGACAUUAUGUUUAAUCUCAGGCAAGUUCCUGAGGUGCCACUUGAGAGGGGAAGUCUAGGAUCAGACCCUUUGGGCUCAUUAUUUAGAGAAAAGGGAUCACACACAAAAAGCCAUGGAAUGCUUAGGAAAAAAUCAGGGCGACUAAGCUAGCAGUUGGAAGAUGAGAAGUAAAAAAUUGCCACGUUGAGUAACUUGGAUAAAAAAUAUAAAGUAGGCAAGGGCUCCAAGAACCAAAAUAAUCAAAGUAUCCACAGGAAAAGCUCCUCAUGCUUGAUACUUGGAAAUAACAGCUCUGCCUUGAGGUGAAUAUGUCUUGAUCUUGCAACUCAAUACAGACAAAGAAGCCAAAAAUCAUGGAAUAUUAGUAGUACAUAUGUGAUAAAGUCCACUGAACUUUAUGAAACAAACCAAGACUGAGAAUAUACAACUGGCCAUACCCGUAACACUGAGAUUUACUCACAGGAGCUUGUACUAUUGUCUCUCUGCAAACCACCACCACCAGAUGCAAUCUGUUGGCUUGAGCACAGCCCCCUUCAAGGAGGAUAGGAAACUUAGAGAGAUCAACCUCCUAGUAGAGCUGGAUGCCUAAAGCUAAGGAAAACUAUUCUAAAGUCUCACAUACAGGUGCCUUCAGUCCUUCUGCAAUUUCCUGUGAGAUUGUGGAAAAGACAGUCACAUUUCAGUAAGAAUCCAUUAAGCAUCUUAGUAGCUUGGCAAUAUUCACUAUACCUUGAAGAAAAUGCAGAUAGCUGAAAUGCAAAAAGCUAGUACACAAAUGCAGAGCAAUUUAAGCAAAAUCUUGCUGGGGAUUUGUGUAAAAUUACAGCUAUGUGCUCUUGCUGCAGAAUCAAAAGCAAUGCAGAAUGCACCUGGUUUUGUUAUAUAAACCAUGAGCAGCCAAAGAUGACUAUGAUUCACCCUUAGAGAGAUGUAAGUUAGAUAGGUGAAGAGGUGUCAUUAUAAUAAAUAUAUUUUAAUGUGCAAAUAUAUGGGUUUUUUUGGUUACUUUUUUUUUCUUCUAGUGAUUCUUAAAAUGUUUUCAUUUAGCAUCAAUUCAGAAAGACAGACAACACAAAUGGUAGUAUUGAACUGCAGUGAAAAAAAGCAAAUAUGGUGCAAGAAUAUGAUAGCGAAAAUAAAAACAUCAUUAAAUGACUUUAUCAAUGAUAAAGAGCUUUUGAAAAUACAUCAUUAUUUCUACUCAUUUUUGAGCAAAAGGGAUAAUGCAGAGAUAAAUGGGAAGCUGAUAAAAUAGAAAGAUAAUUAAGAAUAGCCAAGAAUCUAAAAAAAUAAACCAAAAACCUCACCUGAAGAGAAGUUAAAAGCGCGGGGUUAUUUACAUUGGAAAGGAGACACAUAAGAAGGACAUUAUCCAAGUAUGAACACUGAAUGGCUGGGAAAGGUUAAAAACUUCACCUAAGAACAAAGGAUUUACUGAAGUGAAAAGAUGGCAAAUGCAACUAUGAUAACAAGAAACUUAUUAUUUUCGUUUAGUAAUUGAGCUACGGUAGAGAGCUAAAUAAAAUAUUUUUCAGUUUUCUGUUGUAUAGUGCAAUGUAGUAAAAAUUGAAACAUUAUAAAUAAAGUAUCUACAACAAUAUCUACAAAUGUUAUAAAUCUAAAAAAUAUUUUUCAGAGAAAGUAAAAUACUGAGUUUAAACUUUAAUUUGUUGAUUAAGCUUCUUUCAUUAUAUCAUAUAUUAGAUAAAAAGACACAGUCAAAUGCUAUUGAAGUAAAAUAUUUCUGUGAUCAUCAAUUAAUAUUUGCACCAAAACUGGGAACUGGGAAUUCUUGAGAAUUUUUUCUUCUCAUUUUUGCAUUUCAUUUUUCUCAAAAAGGAAAUUCUCAUUUCCACCUAUUCUGGAGCUCAUCAACAUUGGAGUUCUUUAAGAGCAAGAAUUUACCACAGUUAAACUUUUACAAAGGAAAGAAUAUCCACAGUGAUUAGACAGAAUAAGAAUUAAUAUUUUGUAAAGAACACAAAAUCUCCGGGACUUUCCCUACUUUCAGACACUCUGACUUGGUUCCUGGGAUGAUGAGCUGUGUUUACUCACUAAAACUUUUUUAAACUCUCUUCUGUGGCAUCUGUAGGAGGAAGGAAGUGAGGCUGGAAGAAGCUUCAUCCGGGUAGAAAGGUUUCUGCAUUGAGUGCAGUGCAGUGGGCUCAUGGCCCAGCUAGACCAGCUCCCCAGCCAUGUAGUGCUGAUGUGAACUCAUGAGAUCAAGAUUUCAACCUGUCUUCUCUAUCAACAACAGGGAAAGGGCUCCCUGGAACGCUGCUGAAGCCUUGCAGCUCUCUUGUGAAUGGAGCAGAGAGCUGAUAUCAAAGGAAUUUGGUGAAACGUUGUCCUUUUGUACCCAAGAACUCAAAUCUGGUAACAAAAACGAAAGAAUGAAACUGGAGCCAGAAGUGGAGAUAGCAGAAUAAAAUACAUUUUCAGUUCUU